CAGCGGUUCUGGUCACUCAGGUGCAUUCCAUGCAGCUGAGCUCCCCUGGGUUGGCCCUACCUUCCCACCAGCAUAGGUCCAUUGUAGCAGAAAUGCUGUUGAAGUCCCUCAGAAUGAAAGCCCUGCCUCCCUGUGCCCCUCAUUUGGUGCCAUUUACAAGCUUGUAGGGGGCACAGUUCAUCCCAUCAACCACACAGAAGUUUGAGAGUCCAUCUCCUAUCUCAGAAUGGUGACUACAGAGAUGAGUUAAUGGUUUGCACUGGAUGCGAUGGGUAUGCUGUGUGUUUGAGUUCCUUCAUGCUGAGUGUGCCAAUAAGAAGUUUUCUGUAUGGUACUCUUAAGGAAUAAUGGUG
rnacentral:lncRNA from 1 species